CAGCUAUAUCACGUUGAAACACCAGUUCGUGUACGACCACCGAAGUUAAUCAACAUUGAGCCUGAUAAGUACCUAGAUGAGUGACUGAUUGGCAAUACCAGGUGCUGUAA